rnacentral:lncRNA from 1 species
GGGAGGGCCAAGGGUGCCCAGUGUCCAUGUGGGACAGUGUUCAGCAUGAAUCCCAUCACAUGAGUAUCCCUUAGCCCUUUCUCCACAUUGAUUGUGAGGCCCUGGUUAGACACAUUUCCUCCUCCUGUCCCUCCAGAUGGUGAGCCUGGAGGAAGACUUGUGUUGACCCACAGGCCCCAGGCCAAUGUCAGCCAGGUGCUCAUCUCCUGGUGCGCUGAAACACUGGCCCUUCUUGGCACCCUGGUCUCCUGCACUGAGCUGUGAUCUUCCACCCAGGAGGUCCCCCUGGCAUUGACUGGCAUAGGAUUCUUGGCAAGCAGGCCCAAGGGUGCCCCGUGUCGGUGACAAGUCAGUAUUUCACAUGGAUUUCAUCACAUGUUCCUUGGAGGAUGAGCAGGUGUGAGCUGGCAUGCCCUACCUACUUCCCCACGUGGAGAUCAUUUUGGACACAUGUCCUCCAGCUCUCUCCCAGGUGGUGAGAUCAGAGGAAGACUUGCAUUGGGCCUCCUGUUCCUGGGCCAGUGGUCAUCAGCCUGUUGCCCAGCCCCUGAUAAGCUGAAGCUCAGGCCCUUCCUGGCACUCUGGUCUCCUGCACUGAGCUGUGUGAGCUCUUCUGCCCAGGUGGACCCAUGGCCUUAAGCGGCAUAGAUGGUGAACCUGGAGGAAGACUUGUGUUGGGCCCCCACAGGCCCCAGGCCAGUGUCCGUCAGCCUGGUGCUCAUCCCCUGGUGUGUUGAAGCUCAGACCUUCCCUGGCACCCUGGUCUCCUGCACUGAGCUGUGGUGAGCACAUCCAGGUUCCGCUGGAUGCAUGCGUGGGUCAAUGCCCUUGGUUGGGUCAAUGAUGAGAACCUUAUAUUGUCCUGAAGAGAGGUGAUGACUUAAAAAUCAUGCUCAAUAGGAUUACGCUGAGGCCCAGCCUAGGUGAGAAUGUUGGAAGAGGACACUGGGAUCUCAAGAUCUCCAACAGGUCCACUGUAUUUUGGGCUGGAGACCUGGAGGUCCUGAAGGGCAUCUGGAAGGAGGCCCAACCCUGUCUCUGUGAUCUUCCUUGAGGCAACCCGGGCUACCUCUGUAGGCUUGGUGUUGGUGCUGCAGUUCUCUGGGGCCAGAGAACAUUGGUGGCUCCUUCCUGAGCCCCCAUUCCUCCCUUGUGUCUUUCAGUGAACUUUUCCUCCCAGACGGGCUCCCUGGAAUUGACUGGCAUAGGUGAGUGAAUCCUGCGGGGGUCAUGGACCAUUAGCCAGGCCAUGUGGGUUCGCUGAGGUUC